rnacentral:piRNA from 1 species
UGCCAAGGAAAGGGAGUCUGCCGAAC